GAUGAACGCUGGCGGCGUGCCUAAUACAUGCAAGUCGAACGGAGAGCAGCAAUGCUCUUAGUGGCGAACGGGUGAGUAACGCGAUGGUGACCUGCCCUGGAGUGUGGGAUAACAGGCCGAAAGGCUUGCUAAUACCGCAUGGUCAACUGGGAGAUUAGAAACCUGGUUGUAAAGGAGAAAUCCGCUCUAGGAGGGGCCUGCGUCCCAUCAGCUAGUUGGUAAGGUAACGGCUUACCAAGGCGAUGACGGGUAGGGGACCUGAGAGGGUGACCCCCCACAAUGGAACUGAAACACGGUCCAUACACCUACGGGUGGCAGCAGUAGGGAAUAUUGCAUAAUGGGCGAAAGCCUGAUGCAGCAACGCCGCGUGCGCGAUGAAGGCCUUCGGGUUGUAAAGCGCUUUUGGCUGGGAAGAGGAAGGACGGUACCAGCAGAAUAAGCCUCGGCUAACUACGUGCCAGCAGCCGCGGUAAAACGUAGGAGGCGAGCGUUAUCCGGAUUUACUGGGUGUAAAGCGCGUGCAGGCGGUUUGUUAAGAUGGGUGUGAAAGCUCCUGGCUCAACUGGGAGAGGUCGCUCAAGACUGGCAGACUCGAGAGCAGUAGGGGAAGGUGGAAUUCCGGGUGUAGUGGUGAAAUGCGUAGAUAUCCGGAGGAACACCAGUGGCGAAAGCGGCCUUCUGGACUGCAUCUGACGCUCAGACGCGAAAGCUAGGGUAGCAAACGGGAUUAGAGACCCCGGUAGUCCUAGCCGUAAACGAUGUGAACUUGGCGUUGGGCGGGUAAAACCGCACAGUGCCGCAGCAAACGCGAUAAGUUCACCACCUGGGGACUACGGCCGCAAGGUUA
rnacentral:rRNA from 1 species